UUUUUCACUCUCCUACUUUGGGUGAUGUAAGUGAUGAACAUGGUGGAAAAUUUCAACCAGAUAUUUCUGAAAUGGAAACCAGGUACCAAGCGGGUUCAAGCCAAACAUGAUAGUGGAUAC